GCGCCUUGCCACUGAGCCACGUUCUCAAAGCCCCGGAACCGGCAUCCGGCUGCGCGCUGUCCUCACAACCUAGGGAAGUCUGCGGGACCCACCUGACACGCCCGAGAAAACUGAGGCCCAAGGCUGAAAGUGACCUGACCGAGGUUCCCCAGAGAUGUAUGCCUUUGACUAACAGAUACCGAAAAAACAAAUUUCUUGCUAUGCUCUGAGAUUCAACACGUAAGCAGAAUUGAGAACACCAAAUUCUAUUUGAGGGGCAGAGGUCUAAGAAGGCUUCAUAGAGGAGGUGAUGAUGGAGCCAGGCCGAAUCAGCCAGCCUAGGAGCCUCAGGAUCCCUCUACUCAAGCCAGCAUUCACUGCAACCUGACUAUGUGUCUGCCAGAGUCCUCAAGGAGUUCAGAGUCUGAGAGGGUAAACAGAUAUCAUCUACGAGAAUGAAGAAGGGUUGCUGAGUAGGGGCUCCAGUGUAAAGAAUAUCCAUUCUUCAAGCAUAGAUUCCAAGCCUCCCAUGAAUUCUAUACCACAAAUUCUCUCAAUAAAGCAGUUUUCUGCUUAAUUGUA